GAGGGUAUAGCUCAGUGGUAGAGGGCAGAGCUUGGCAUGUAUGAGGUCCUGGGUUCAGUCCCCAGUGCCUCCA
rnacentral:tRNA from 1 species